AUAACAUAGUAUGACUGGUGACGGUGCUUAUUAUUGGCAGUGGGCAAGCAUCUGAAUGAGCUGAGCAUGGUCCACCAGGCUGAAAAAUGUUAGUUAGUACAGGUACACACAAGACUGGAGAUGUAGUAUGACAGUUUUGUUACCUGUCCGCGGAAUCGUAGGAAGUCCUGGAACGUGAUCUUGCUCUGCGACUGCAGUCCGAGCUGAUCCAUGAUCUCCUCAGCCAUGUCCUCCAUGUUGAGCUGGCGACACAUGUAGAUAAAGUCCCCACUGAAAGUGGAAAUGACACAAUGUAUAUCAAUUACAUUUACAGGCACAUAAUAUUCCCCACAAAGUUGUCAAUUUUAUUCAAGUAAAUGUUACAAGGUUUUAGAGUGUUAAAUUGUUUAUUAAAUAUGUUCAAUGUU
rnacentral:sRNA from 1 species